rnacentral:lncRNA from 1 species
CUAAGUUCCAAUUUGAGAGCAGGAGAAGACCCAUGGCCCACUUCAAAUACUCAGAAAACUUGAGAUGAAGAAAUGGCUUUGAGUGGGUUUCAGCAGAGAAAUAGUGGCUACUCCUAUUCAAAAAUGGAAAGCAAGAGCAUAGAUAAUGAGAAUGCUCCUCACAGCCUGCCUGCUCCUCAGGAGUCAGAUACUGAACAUUUUGUUAUGUUAACUAAAACAGAACAAGAGAUGAACAAAAUGAAACUCCUCUUUUCGACUUGUGGACAGGUAGAACAUCUCAGUGGCCAUUUAAGCUACUUAGUCAAAUGACUCACUUUCUACCCUUUUCUCUAAGUUGGUGACUCUCAUCUUUCUAUUUUCAUUCCUGCCCAAAGGUUGAAUCAUUUUGUACAACUCUCUGCAGCACAUUGUUACUUGUAUGUCCUAGUGUCACAUGGAGCUCAAUAAACUUAGAAUUAAACUC